CCUACGGGUGGCAGCAGUGGGGAAUAUUGCGCAAUGGGCGAAAGCCUGACGCAGCGACGCCGCGUGAGGGAUGAAGGUCUUCGGAUCGUAAAACUCUGUCAGCAGGGAAGAACGGUCACUGUGCUAUUCAGCAGUGAAUUGACGGUACCUGCAAAGGAAGCACCGGCUAACUCCGUGCCAGCAGCCGCGGUAAUACGGAGGGUGCGAGCGUUAAUCGGAAUUACUUGGCGUAAAGCGCUCGUAGGCGGUAUGUCAAGUCAAGGGUGAAAUCCCCGCGCUCAACGUGGGAACUGCCUUUGAAACUGGCAAACUGGAGUGUGUGAGAGGAUAGUGGAAUUCGAGGUGUAGGAGUGAAAUCCGUAGAUAUCUGGAGGAACAUCAGUUGCGAAGGCGACUAUCUGGCACAUAACUGACGCUGAGGAGCGAAAGCGUGGGUAGCAAACAGGAUUAGAUACCCCAGUAGUC
rnacentral:rRNA from 1 species